AGUGAACGCUGGCGGUAGGCCUAACACAUGCAAGUCGAACGGCAGCACAGUAAGAGCUUGCUCUUACGGGUGGCGAGUGGCGGACGGGUGAGGAAUACAUCGGAAUCUACUUUUUCGUGGGGGCUAACGUAGGGAAGCUUACGCUAAUACCGCAUACGACCUACGGGUGAAAGCAGGGGAUCUUCGGACCUUGCGCGAUUGAAUGAGCCGAUGUCGGAUUAGCUAGUUGGCGGGGUAAAGGCCCACCAAGGCGACGAUCCGUAGCUGGUCUGAGAGGAUGAUCAGCCACACUGGAACUGAGACACGGUCCAGACUCCUACGGGAGGCAGCAGUGGGGAAUAUUGGACAAUGGGCGCAAGCCUGAUCCAGCCAUACCGCGUGGGUGAAGAAGGCCUUCGGGUUGUAAAGCCCUUUUGUUGGGAAAGAAAAGCAGCAGGUUAAUACCCCGCUGUUCUGACGGUACCCAAAGAAUAAGCACCGGCUAACUUCGUG
rnacentral:rRNA from 1 species